GGACAAGAUCGAUUGCAUGCGCUCAUUAUAUUCCAAUCCAGGCAUGCAUUGAAUCAUGCACUUUGUAUGGUAGGAUUGAAUCCUAGGAUUCGAUCCUUGAUUGAUGAGUAUUAUAAAAAUAAAUCGAGUUAACCUUGAUAAUUUAUCGAACAUUAGCGAACAAUCAUCUUUGACAGGACACCACGAAUGCUCUUGACCCGUUGGACCAACUGUUAAUGUGCAAAUGCUUAACGAAGAGGAUUCGUGAAUUCAUAACAAUUCAACCGAAGCUUUAGAUUCGGAUUUGUAGUGGAGCGGAAUCCUCUAUAAUGUGAAGAGUAUGCUUGAAGCAAAAAAUAUCAGACCACCAUCAGUACUCGGAAUUUAUAGAAUUAAUAAAUGAAUCAAAUUAUUAUAA